rnacentral:rRNA from 1 species
UACCUGCGGAGGGAUCAUUACACAAAUAUGAAGGCGGGCUGGAACCUCUCGGGGUUACAGCCUUGCUGAAUUAUUCACCCUUGUCUUUUGCGUACUUCUUGUUUCCUUGGUGGGUUCGCCCACCACUAGGACAAACAUAAACCUUUUGUAAUUGCAAUCAGCGUCAGUAACAAAUUAAUAAUUACAACUUUCAACAACGGAUCUCUUGGUUCUGGCAUCGAUGAAGAACGCAGCGAAAUGCGAUAAGUAGUGUGAAUUGCAGAAUUCAGUGAAUCAUCGAAUCUUUGAACGCACAUUGCGCCCUUUGGUAUUCCAAAGGGCAUGCCUGUUCGAGCGUCAUUUGUACCCUCAAGCUUUGCUUGGUGUUGGGCGUCUUGUCUCUAGCUUUGCUGGAGACUCGCCUUAAAGUAAUUGGCAGCCGGCCUACUGGUUUCGGAGCGCAGCACAAGUCGCACUCUCUAUCAGCAAAGGUCUAGCAUCCAUUAAGCCUUUUUUUUCAACUUUGACCUCGGAUCCAGGUAGGAUUCCCGUUUCU